CAGUAACGGCGAGUGAAGCGGCAACAGCUCAAAUUUGAAAUCUGGCUCCUUCGGGGUCCGAAUUGUAAUUUGUAGAGAGUGCUUCGGGCGAGACCUCGGUCUAAGUCCAUUGGAACAUGGUGUCAUAGAGGGUGAGAAUCCCGUAUGCGACCGUGGCUCGAGCCCAUGUGAAGCCUCUUCGACGAGUCGAGUUGUUUGGGAAUGCAGCUCAAAACGGGUGGUAAAUUUCAUCUAAAGCUAAAUACUGGCUGGAGACCGAUAGCGCACAAGUAGAGUGAUCGAAAGAUGAAAAGCACUUUGGAAAGAGAGUCAAACAGUACGUGAAAUUGUUGAAAGGGAAGCGCUUGCAACCAGACCUGCCCGUAGGCGAUCAGCCGCUGUUCUCAGCGGUGCACUCGCUCUGCGAUCAGGCCAGCAUCGGUUUCGGCGGUCGGAUAAAGGCCUUGGGAAUGUAGCUUCCCUUCGGGGAAGUCUUAUAGCUCUCGGUGCAAUGCGGCCAGCCGGGACCGAGGACCGCGCUUCGGCUAGGAUGCUGGCGUAAUGGUUGUAAGCGACCCGUCUUGAAACACGGACCAAGGAGUCUAACAUCUAUGCGAGUGUUUGGGUGUCAAACCCAUACGCGGAAUGAAAGUGAACGGAGGUGAGAACCCUUAAGGGCGCAUCAUCGACCGAUCCAGAUGUCUUCGGAUGGAUUUGAGUAUGAGCAUAGCUGUUGGGACCCGAAAGAUGGUGAACUAUGCCUGAAUAGGGUGAAGCCAGAGGAAACUCUGGUGGAGGCUCGCAGCGGUUCUGACGUGCAAAUCGAUCGUCAAAUUUGGGUAUAGGGGCGAAAGACUAAUC
rnacentral:rRNA from 1 species